AUGAAAAGUGUCUGCCCGGUCACUUCCGGUUUUUCUUCCCCCAGUCCCUCAGCUGCUGCUGCUGCUCAGGAGGUCAGAUCUGCCACUGAUGGUAAUACCAGCACCACUCCGCCCACCUCUGCCAAGAAGAGAAAGUUAAACAGCAGCAGCAGUAGCAGCAGUAACAGUAGUAACGAGAGAGAAGACUUUGAUUCCACCUCUUCCUCCUCUUCCACUCCUCCUUUACAACCCAGGGAUUCGGCAUCCCCUUCAACCUCGUCCUUCUGCCUGGGGGUUUCAGUGGCUGCUUCCAGCCACGUACCGAUACAGAAGAAGCUGCGUUUUGAAGACACCCUGGAGUUUGUAGGGUUUGAUGCGAAGAUGGCUGAGGAAUCCUCCUCCUCCUCCUCCUCAUCUUCACCAACUGCUGCAACAUCUCAGCAGCAGCAACUUAAAAAUAAGAGUAUAUUAAUCUCUUCUGUGGCUUCGGUGCAUCAUGCAAACGGCCUAGCCAAAUCUUCUACCACCGUCUCUAGCUUUGCUAACAGCAAGCCUGGCUCUGCUAAGAAGUUAGUGAUCAAGAACUUUAAAGAUAAGCCUAAAUUACCAGAAAACUACACAGAUGAAACCUGGCAAAACUGAAAGAAGCAGUGGAAGCUAUUCAGAAUAGUACUUCAAUUAAGUACAAUUUAGAAGAACUGUACCAGGUAUGUAUUAAUAUGCAUAACCAGAUUUGAUUAACAUAAAUCAAGGUGGGAUGUAUAUUGAUUUUGCUUU
rnacentral:lncRNA from 1 species